ACAUCUCGCUGGCGCGCCAGGAUUUUGAGUGCGUGUACUAUAUUUUUUUCAGCGGCGCGCAACAAAGCGGAAACAGGAAGCCUGAACAAGCUUGAGAGCAACCGGAU